CCGAGUUAGGGUCGCCUUCCAGGUGCCCGACCUCCCAACCCUUUGUCUAAGAUACCUCAGUUGCUUCGGGUGGGCCGGGCGCGACCAACUGGCUUCGUGACCGGCGGCCGGGGGAUACCCCGGCGGCAGAGCGCCCACCGACGGCCUCCACAAAACUCUUGAUACCUAAACCUGUCGUCUGAAUUUACUUGAUAUUAAUCAAAAACA
rnacentral:misc_RNA from 1 species